rnacentral:rRNA from 1 species
AUACGUAGGGUGCGAGCGUUAAUCGGAAUUACUGGGCGUAAAGCGUGCGCAGGCGGUUGAUUAAGACAGGCGUGAAAUCCCCGGGCUUAACCUGGGAACUGCGCUUGUGACUGGUCAGCUAGAGUACGGCAGAGGGGGGUGGAAUUCCACGUGUAGCAGUGAAAUGCGUAGAGAUGUGGAGGAACACCGAUGGCGAAGGCAGCCCCCCUGGGCCGAUACUGACGCUCAUGCACGAAAGCGUGGGUAGC